GAUGAACGCUGGCGGCGUGCUUAACGCAUGCAAGUCGAGCGAGUGAGUUCUUCGGAACGAUCUAGCGGCGGACGGGUGAGUAACACGUGGGCAACCUGCCUCAUAGAGGGGAAUAGCCUCCCGAAAGGGAGAUUAAUACCGCAUAAAAUUAUCGAGUGGCAUCACAUGAUAAUCAAAGGAGUAAUCCGCUAUGAGAUGGGCCCGCGGCGCAUUAGCUAGUUGGUGAGGUAACGGCUCACCAAGGCGACGAUGCGUAGCCGACCUGAGAGGGUGAUCGGCCACAUUGGGACUGAGACACGGCCCAGACUCCUACGGGAGGCAGCAGUGGGGAAUAUUGCACAAUGGGGGAAACCCUGAUGCAGCAACGCCGCGUGGAGGAUGAAGGCCUUAGGGUCGUAAACUUCUUUUCUAUGCGAAGAAUAUGACGGUAACAUAGGAAUAAGGGUCUGCUAACUACGUGCCAGCCGCCGCCGUAA
rnacentral:rRNA from 1 species